rnacentral:rRNA from 1 species
CCCUAUUAUUUUUGAAUGUUAAUUGUUUUAUAUGCUUGAGUAGUAUUAGCUAUGUUCUUGAAACUUAAAGAAUUUGGCGGUAUCUCAUUCCUUCCAGAGGAAUCUGUCUCGUUAUCGAUAGUCCGCGUUGGACCUUACUUAUAAUUUAUUGGUUUGUAUACCGCCGUUUAUUGAUUAUCUUUUUAGAGUUUUUAAUUUUCUGGUUUCUUUAUUUUGAUUUAUUUCAGGUCAAGGUGCAGCUUGUUUUUAAGUGGAUGAUGGAUUACAUUGUAAUUUGUUUUUGGAUUGUUGAUUUUAAUAUUGAUAUGAAAUUGGAUUUGGUUGUAAUUGUUUGUAGAUUGUUAUUGUGAUAAGUGGUUCUGGGAUAUGUACACAUCGCCCGUCGCUCUCGUUUAUUUCUAAUGAGAUAAGUC